rnacentral:lncRNA from 1 species
GCGCGCGCAGGAACUUGGAUCUCAACCCCAGGGCUAGGUGCCUCCUCCCGCUGCUUUCCGCCAGCUGCGGGGUGUGAGAUUAAUCCCCGCCGAUUAGCGCCAGGUGUACUAAUCCCUGGAUGGUUCCCUGACCAGAUGAAACAUCAGCCGAUGUUCUAAUGCCCGUCCCCUGGGCACUGUCCCCGAGAGGGAAAACCUGUUUUCUGACCCCGGCUCUAGUCGGCCUCUGGAGAUCUGCAGCUGGGUUAUUUUACUUCUGAAACGGACGACACCUGCCCCGCGCACCCCAGCGGCUCCUCCACACGGAGAGAUGGUGUCAGUCAAAGGCCGUCUAGAUGACGAGUUUAUGAAAUUGUUCCUGGCCCGUGCCGGGCACGACCUUGCAGAGAGCCCAGAAGAUGAAACCCCAGCCCUGCCAGGAGCUCACCUGCUAAUUAGGAGGACAACGAAUCACCUCACCUCCCUAGACUUUGCUUCUCCUUUAUUCAGUGAGGGAUUGGACUAGCUGGUCCUUAAGGACUUUUCAGAAAGUCUGGUUCUGGGAGAUGACCAAUGGGAUCAUCUUAUGCUAUGAGCUUUCCUGGAAUGACAGGUAAUGGAGAGUGAGGAGAUUUUACCUGAUAUGGUCCUGUUUGCACCGUCAGCCAGCAACCUUUCUGGGAAGCAUGCUUAUUAUGUACCAACAUAGAAGCUUGAAUAUAAGGUCUGCCCACAUCAGUGCCCACCAGGAAAACUGCUGCUUGUGUUAUCAAGAAUUUAAAGAAACACUCCAGCCUGCUUUGCAGAAAUUAUUUCGCUCUACUUAGAAAAUCUGACCAACUUAAGGUUCAUUGCAGCAUCCAAUUCCAGGUCUCUGGCGAUAAGAGCUAUUUUCUUGCCCUUGUAUGACUCGGAUAGCCCUCCCAGAGGAAUCUUCACGGCUUGCCGCGUGCGGGAAGAGACAGGUCAGCUCUCCCUUUCUGAAUCUACAAUUUCUCCACUGUUUUAAACACAAAACAAUCAUAUACCAAUCUGGCAUAUUCGGGGACAUCCUUCACUCCUUCACCAUAGAAUAUCACUGUUUCUUUAAAACGAUGCACGUUUUUCUCUAUGUCUCUGUUUCCUCAUUUAAUAGAAUGAAUAUGAUAAACAUGAACUUCUGUAAGAUUCAUAACAGUUGUCAAUUCUCAGAAUUGUUCACUUUGUGCCACUAAAUG